AAUGGAAAUCGGACAAAAGGGGAGGCGGGAAGAGAAGGAAAGAAGGAAAGAAGGAAUCCCUCUCUCUCCUUCAGAGCGCACUUUCACUGAAGUAAGCCAACAGUAAAGUAAUGGAGUCGCCGAGGCAUUCGUGCUUGAAGCUCGAGCUCCCAAAUCCUACCGAGCCCGAUGAGAUCGAGCCGAUUUUCAUCAAGGCCACAUGUUUCGACCCUUCGCGGUUUCGCGUCUGGGUUUUACAGCAUCGGAGGAAGAAGUGAGGGAACGAGCGGCUCAGUGGGACCAGCCAGAGGCAGAUUACAUUGAAUUGGCUGAGCGGUACUUAGGGUUUCAGCAGCCCGGUUCUGUUUACAAGUUCACCGACGCCGAAAACAGGUAGACAAGAGUAUGUGCUUUUCUCCGGCGUCAUCCCCCCAAAAAUUCUAUUUAAUUUUGCUGGAAUACUUUCUGUUUCCAAUCUUUGUAUCUGUGGUUCUACCUGUGGUCCCCUUUUAUUAGAUGACAUUGAUGUUUAUCUGCCUGAUCUAUCGAGUUUUGCAAUUAUCAUGGACCUAAGGAAAGGACAAAGCUGGAAUGGCGAUGGAAAUGCCAACCUUCACCCAAUCCUCAACAGACCAAUUCAGGAAUCUUGAACUUUCUUAUGGAUGCAAACAUAAGGCUCAGUGUAAGCCUCCUAAGAUUAUAAUUGGUUAAACAUUAUUAGUAUAAUAUUUUAUAUGGCUGCUUGGAGAAGAAAUAAGCCGUUAGUUUCACAAACUAUCUCCUCUGGUUUGAAGUAUCAUUUGACCCACUGGGAUCAAAGAUAAAAUGACUAAAAAGUAAAACUAUAGCUUAACUGGUUCACACUACAAUGAAACUCUUGACUUCUUAUUUGAUAGUUAUCUAUUAAGAGGAAGAAGUUGUCAGAAAAACUAAAUCAUUUGAGAGGUUAAAAGUGGAAACUGAGAAUGCCUGGCACAGAGUGAACGUUUCAGCAAUGAGAAGACAGAGUUUGUGUCUGCAAUCUAUGCAAAGGUGUUUUCUUCUUUCCUCUUUUAUCAUGGGAAUAGGUAAUAUAUCCAAGCAAAGGUGCUUUUUGUUCUUCUGAUGGAUAUGGCUUCUGAUAAUUACGCACUCUUAGAGAUAAAUUAGACCCUCAUGAGUAAUGUUUAUCUUUUACUAUUAAAACUAUGUGCUUCUUGCAGUUUUUCACUCUAAUAACUAUGUAAUUAUUCAGCCUGAAAGUUAGUUAAAUGUGAAAGGGCAAUUAGUUUCCAUAAUUCUUAAACUUGAUCAAGAGAAAAUGUCUAAAGAAUUACGUUUACCUUAUGGCUGUAACUCAUGUUUUCUACAUGAUGAAUUGAUUAUAUCUUCUCUGUGUUGAGGAGAAAAGAAAAAAGGAAGAAAGAAAAAGAAACUAAGAUGAGAGGAAGGGCUUGAAAAUUCUGUUUGUUGGGUUAACCAAAGCCAAAUCAAAUUGAUAAUGUUGGGUUUUUAUUGUCCAAUCUGGUUCUGGUUAUGUUAUAAUUCACUGAUAAUCCACGACUGAACUUAUGGUACAUGACGAAGACCGUCUAACUUUUUGUUGGCAUAUGAUUGGAGCACUUGAUGAAUUGCACGUGAAUAUAAUGAGCAACCUUUAGUAUUACAUCUCAGUCGCGAAAUUGAUUUUGGUCUUGUUUAUGAUGUAGUUCCUUAGUGUCUUAAAUUAGAAGAAAGGGAAACUAAGGGAGCUCCAGGAGCAACUUGUCAAGGCAGGUGGUAAAGGUGGGAAAUCACCAGAAGAAAACGAGGAAUCCACGGAAAAGACGGACCCUUUUGAUGAGGGAAGUGACAGGGAGGUAGAGACCAUAAAGAGCGGCACUGGGACAUCAGAAGAUGUCCAGAAGGGUAAAUCCCGUGGUCGGAAGAGGAUUGCAUUGAAAUGAAUAGUUCUAUAGACCAAGACUGCUUUUGCUUAGGCGGAACAAGCUUUCUUUCCCUUAUAUGUACAGAGACUUGUUCUUUCACAUUGCUGAUGGUGUUUUUUUGUAGAUACCUCAUUUUGUCAUUGUGCUGAUGGCCUUUUCUUGUAGAUACCUCAUUUUUGUAAUUGCACAUAUCUAAGGUUGUUGAUUGUACAACAUGGCCUGGCGUCCAUUAGCAGUAGAAAUGGAAAUUUUGGAUUAUGAAAGGACUUAUUUUAUGAUU